UCAUUAUCAAAUUUCAAUCAUAAACAAAUUUAUAUAAAUCUUAUAAAUUGGUUGACAAAUGAAUGAAAGGCUAAUCUAAGGAUUGUUGCGGUAUUUAGCUUGUGGAUUCGGUAACAUAUACGAAGGAGAUGGAGCGUAGGCAUAGAUGGAUGUACGAGAUAACU